AUGCUAUGAUGACUAACUUAGGACACCUUUGGAGGCUUGUUCCCAUGAAACAAAUCUAAAGUCUGAGCACU